rnacentral:misc_RNA from 1 species
UCAAACUUGGUCAUUUAGAGGAAGUAAAAGUCGUAACAAGGUUUCCGUAGGUGAACCUGCGGAAGGAUCAUUGCUGAGCCGGUGUUCUCGCGGCUUGUGGGGCGACCCAUGGCUCGAGGCACCUUUCUCACAAACCCAUGUGAACUCGUGAUGUGACUGGGCCAACACUCGCCUCGCGCGUGUUGGUUCCUUUUUCAAUUCACCUCAACAACCUGUCUUCUCUGACUGAGAUAAAGGGUCCUCGUGACCCGAACCACAAGACAAACUAUCACAACUUUUAACAACGGAUAUCUUGGCUCGCGCAUCGAUGAAGAACGCAGC